rnacentral:lncRNA from 1 species
GAGAACUUUUUAUAAAGAUCUCCUUAGUUAAAUUUUGGCGUGGAAGUGCGUAUUCAGUCUGUGGAAUUCGUAUUUCCGGGUAUGUUUCUUAUUUAAUUUUUGUAAUGUUAUUAUUUUUAAUUGUUAGUUAAAGUUUGAAUUUUUGAAGUUUAGUUAGUGUUGUUAAUAAACUAGUUAGUUUACUAUGUUUAUUUUGGCUUGGAAUUGAUUAUGUAAAUGAGUUAUUUGUGAUGACUUUUAAUAUUUUGUGAUGAAUUUCAUUAAUUAAUAAUUAUUAAUGAUAUUAAAGUUAUUUAAUGAUUAUAUUAAAUAAUUUAGUUUAAAAAUGAUUUUAAUAUUAUAAAAAUCAUUUUAAAUGAAAAUAAGGUAUUUAAAAAUAUUUUAAGUUAUAAAAUAUAACUUUUAAUAUUUAAAUGAUAAUUUCAUUAAUAAUUAAAUAUUAAUGAUAUUAAGAUAAUAUUAAUGAUAUUUAGUUUAUUUAAUGAUUAAUAUUAAAUAAAUAGUUUAAAAAUGGUUUUACUUAUUUAAAAACCAUUUAAAGAGGAUAUUAAGGAUUUAAAAAUAUUUUAAGUUAUAAUUAAUGACUUUUAAUAUUUGGAUAAAUAGUACAUUAAUAUUUAAAUAUUAAUGGUAAUUAUUUGGGUAAUAUAAAUGUUUUAAAAAUAGUUUGAGUUAUUAUAAAUAACUUUUAUAUUUUGGCAAUGGUUUCAUUAAUAGUUUAGUAUUAAUUAAACUAUUAAUGAUAAUGGAAUUGUUUAAUGUUUAAAUCAUUUAAUUAUGAUUCCGAUAUUUGAAAGUUAUAGCCGGCCAAACUAGCUGACUUGAGAACCGAUUAUGAAGUUCUGAAUUUGAAGAAGAACACCUAUAGUAACAGUUAUAUCACUAUAGGCCCUUUAGUGACAGAUUUGAAUUAUUUUAAAUUUUUCAAUUUCUGGAAAUUGCGAAAAUGAUUAAAAAUAAGAUGUCUGAUAUUUACAGAUGUUGAGGUAUAGAAUAAGAGUCUUAGACUCAGUAUUUACCCGAUAAAGCUGUCGGUACGCCGACAAAUGUCAGACCUUAUAAAAGAAAGAAAAGACUACUGUAAGAGCAUGGAUGAGAUAUUUGAAAAAUGUAUAAAAAUAUUUCAAGUAUAGAAUAGGAACUAAAAGUAUGAUCACUGUGAUUAUGUGAUUAGACUAUGGACUGACUGUAAUAGACAGUACUAUGUGUUAAGAUAUAUUGUUCUAAUCGAACGAAUGAUCUGAUUAUUGAUAGGUUGUGAUAAAGAGAUAAAACCUAAGUUGAGAUUUGUAAUCAGCGAAUCAGGCAAGUAUCCUACCUUUGCACUUCCUUUAUGCAAUGGACAUGAGUAAGAAGUUUCAGAAUUAUUCUAUCCCUGUACAGAUUAUGUACUCUUUGAUUAUCGACAUGUUAGCUCAGAUAUAUAUUCUGUUCAUUGAUUUCUAUAAAUGGUUAUACAAGUGUCCCCACUUGGAUAAUCAUGGCAUUUGUUCACAUGUUGAUACAUCUUUGUCAAUUACCCGUAUAUAUAUGUUGAAUUACAUAUUAUUGUUGAGCAAGAUUAAAAACCUUCGGGUUUGGAACCAGGCAUGUAUGAACAUCCCUAUAUGGGAAGAUUUUUGCGCAAGGCGGAUAGAGUGAGCGAUGAAUUUCGUUCAAGUUAUGUAGUAUUGAUCAAUACAGGGUACAACGGGGCUGAUCACCCUCCGUGCCCGUAAGUUAUGACGGUUUGAGGAUAGAAUUCCGCUAAACCUUUUCGAAAAUGAAAAGAAUGUUCAUAGUAUGUUUCUUAAACCCUAUUCAAGGGUAGAGCCAGUGCCAAAUUUAAAGAAUUUGAAAGAGAGUUGUUAUGUGAAUUUUUUAUCAGUACAGAUUACUUCAUAACUUUCAAUUCGUUGUAGAAGUGUUAUGUAAAGAGAAUACUUAUAUUCUUUCAGCUUAUAUAUAAUUGUUAUUACUUGCUGGGCACUUAAAUGCUCAUCCUUGCUUAAAUUAAAUAUUUUCAGUUAUGUAUGAGCAACCUGAAGGCUCAGGCACGAACAAAGGAAAAAGGAAAGCUGAUUGAAUAAGUGUGUAUUAUGAGUUAAUGGUUAUAGUUGUAUUGGUAUCUAUUCAAGUAUUGUAAGGAAUGUAUUUGAAGGUCACGUACCUGGGGAAGUAAACUUUGAUGUAUGUAAAUUAAGUUUGAAUGUAUUAUUAUUUAGUAUUAUUCAGCUUAAAGAAAUGGUAUCGUGGGGAACCGAGUUCGGGUUUCAAGUACCUGGAUUUGGGGUCGUCACAUCAUCCUUUUAGAUGCAGUCCAAGAACUUGGAACAGUUGAAGGAUUGGAAGGAUCAGAAGGAUUGCUUGGAAUGAGAUUAUUAGAUGAUUGAAUUUCUUCUACUUCGUUAGUGUCAUAAAAUUGAAUUGGCUUAUUCCUUUUUUUACUCAUUAUAGCUUGAUGCA